rnacentral:rRNA from 1 species
UGGGGAAUAUUGGACAAUGGGCGAAAGCCUGAUCCAGCCAUGCCGCGUGUGUGAAGAAGGUCUUCGGAUUGUAAAGCACUUUAAGUUGGGAGGAAGGGCAGUAAGCGAAUACCUUGCUGUUUUGACGUUACCGACAGAAUAAGCACCGGCUAACUCUGUGCCAGCAGCCGCGGUAAUACAGAGGGUGCAAGCGUUAAUCGGAAUUACUGGGCGUAAAGCGCGCGUAGGUGGUUCGUUAAGUUGAAUGUGAAAGCCCCGGGCUCAACCUGGGAACUUCAUCCAAAACUGGCGAGCUAGAGUAGGGAAGAGGGUGGUGGAAUUUCCUGUGUAGCGGUCAAAUACGUAGAUAUAGGAAGGAACACCAGUGGCGAAGGCGACCACCUGGGCUCAUACUGACACUGAGGUGCGAAAGCGUGGGGAGCAAACAGG